CAUUCAUUUCACAGGAGAAAUUCCAAGUAAGCUUUCUCAACUCUUUUGCAGCACCAUGUAUUUGCAAAACACUCUUCUCACUGAAGAAGUCAAUUAAGUGAUCCAGUGCAACAAAUUCUACAUUUCUGGGCUACUGUGAGGAGGAAUGCAUUACUGACUCUGAAGCACCAGAACUACAGGGAUGUCCUGUUAGUACUGUCACCAGGAAGUAGCCACAGCUCAGCAGCUGAGCCCUAAAUAAUCCACUGCAAUGUACCGUGCCUUACUCCAAAUGGACUCGAUGGUCUGCUGAGGCUGACGCAGACAGAGUUGUCAAGUGCUGGCAGAAUGAGAAACCACCAGCAGAUGCAGUUCCAGGCUGACAAGGUGGCCAGCAAGAAAUGAGAGUGCAAAGUGAUGGACAGAUGAUUGUGGCUGGCACAGCUGGCAGCACUCAGUCAUUGCCCAGCCACCUGAGGUAUCCUGCCACUACAGACACAGCUGGGGGCUCUGCUGGACACACACUGUGUUUCAGUCUGAACUCAGAUAUGCAGUGUGACCUUUCCACAGGGCUGACAUUACUGUUUGCACCCUGCGGAGUUGUUCAUCUUGCCAUUCAGAGCUGCGAGGGUUUUCACUCCUUUGGUGCAAACCUGAGUGCUCAGCUGGAGGCUGAGUGAAGCUAAUAGAAAGGUCUACAUUAUUCUGAGUUGUUGGGUUGGACAAGUAGAGGUAGAAAGAAGAUGAGAUUGAGACCAUAAUUGAACAUUGUAUCAUAUGCUAUAUGAAGACAAAACUUACAGGGAAAGCUGUAGAAGGUAGAUACCAUCAUGUCUGUGCCUGUUCAAUAAGUGUUUGUAUGUAGAUUAACUUGUCUAAGAAUAAAGAGAGGAACCUGAGAUAAUGUGUUUAAAGCAGGUU